GAUGAACGCUGGCGGCGUGCCUAAUACAUGCAAGUCGAGCGAACAGAUGAGGAGCUUGCUCCUCUGACGUUAGCGGCGGACGGGUGAGUAACACGUGGAUAACCUACCUAUAAGACUGGGAUAACUUCGGGAAACCGGAGCUAAUACCGGAUAAUAUAUUGAACCGCAUGGUUCAAUAGUGAAAGACGGUUUUGCUGUCACUUAUAGAUGGAUCCGCGCCGCAUUAGCUAGUUGGUAAGGUAACGGCUUACCAAGGCAACGAUGCGUAGCCGACGUGAGGGAGUGGUAGGCCACACUAGAAGUGGAACGGCGUCCAGGGUACUAAGAGAGGCAGCAGUAGGGUAUCGUACGCAGUAGGCGAGAGUCUGACGGAGCAGGCGCAAGUGUGAGAUGGCGGUCUUCGGUUCGUAAAGAUCUGUUAUGAGUUAAGAACCACUGUCUACGGAAACGUACAGGGAUUGACGGUAAUUAAUAAGAAAGCAACGGCUAACUACGUG
rnacentral:rRNA from 1 species